AGGACCACAAACAAGAGCUGCCCCUCUUGGCCGCGAGCACCGGCCAGGCCCCGUGCCCAUCCGGCUUCCUUCCUCAGACCUCCCUGCACGGUGGGGGUGGGGUCCCCGUGCCACAGGCUGGCCAGCGUCACCGGCUACCACGAUGGCAGGGAAUGAGUGCAGAGUGCCCACCACCUGGGAGGCCGGCUGGCUGGUUCUCACCGUCUUCCUGGGUGGUCUCGGCCAGUCCCUCCCUGAGCUGGUCACCACGGGGGGUCCAGGGGUCUGCGGCAGGAUGCUGCACCCCUGCUCAGAGGCGGUGCCCACUCCUGUGUCCUCAGUACAGGCCGCCCUGCUCCAUCCUCAGAUGGCAGUGCCCCUGCUAGGCCCUCAGCAGACCCUGCCUCCUGGCAUCCCUCAGAGCCCAGGGCCUGCCCAG